UGACCUUGAGCUGCGGCGGGCUGCGGGCUGGCUGCUGCGCAUGCGUGGCCCGGGGAUUGGGGGGGGGGGUCACGUGAGCGCGCUCGUGCAGCCUCACUGAGGGAAGGGGAGGUGGCGCCAUCUUGGCGCUGGGGGGGUGGUUGAGGGUCGGCGGCAGCGCCAAGGCGGGGGUAACAAGGAGCGCCUAACAAAAUAGGGAGGCUUGGAGGCUGUAGCUGAGGGAAUAAGGAGACCUGAAAGAAAAUAGAGUGGUAGCCUCGUGCUAGCAGAAGCAAGGGAGAUAAGGGAUGUGAAGGGUAAAAAGCAAGGAGAAAAACAUCUGCGGGAAGGCUCCAGCCUGACCUGCUGAAACCAGGAUGGAGUCCUGUAUCCUUAAAACAAAUUAUAAGGUUGUUCUGCAGCAGGAACUACGUUAACAAAAAUACUCUUGUUUAUGGCAAAAACAACUGUAAGCAAGCAACAGACAUCAAUGCUUCCAAAGCUGUUUGUGUGGUCAUUUGAGAUCAAAGGAGAGAAAAUAAAAUUUAAAAAAAAAUCAGUAAAACAAGUAGCAAACCGUUGCCUAUGGUGAAGAAAUAGACAUAGAGUGGGACUCUAAAAAAGAUUUUGAGCUGUGCUGCUGCGAUAGCCUCAAAAGACGGCAUGAGCUGCAAAGCUGGAUAGCAGGGGGAAGAGAACAUGGAUAAUGCAUGAACCGGUGAUGAGCUGAGAUUUAUAAAAGCCUUCCAUACUGUCAGAGGGGGCUGGAGCCUCCUGGAGCAAUGCCGGACUGGCCCGCCUGGUGGCAAACUGCUUUCACUGGAGGCACCUCUCUGCUUAGCAGGUUUGGGAACAACAAAUGUGCUCACUGGGAGUGCAGGCUGUAAUCUCAUCUCUCUGUGUUUGGAGGUUUUCAGGGGCCCGCUCGUCCCUCCGGAAUAGCAAUGUGCCCUCCAUCAGGUACUGACCUGGGCACCGUCGUAACUAAUGCAGAGUUGGUGCUGCAGAGAUCGUGCUCGUGUCUCAAACUUCACAGAGUUUCUGGGGGGUUCUUCAUCUUCCCCCUGUAGUCCUGGAACUGCGGAAAUCAAUAUUCUGCCAUCUGUAAAUCCUUUGUUCCCCUUUUCACCAGGGCUUUAUCAGCUUUGUAAGUGAAGGGGGGGGGGAAGAGGGCGGUGAGAGAGCCAUUGUCCCUUCUCUCGGGAAUGAUCUGGAAGUGCUAUGCAAAUCUUCAUUUGAAGACCCUGGGAACUGGGGGAGGGCUUUAGCUGCAAGCUCAGUAGGAGGGGAGCUCUGCAUCCCUGCUCACACACUUCUGCCUAGUGCAAGUAGCAGGGAAGAGUUUUUUUGAACUGCCAGAAGAGACGUUUUGCGCUUUGUGCGCUUCUGUGAGGUUUUGCACUCCUGUCUCCUGCUUUGUGCUUUUUUUUCUGCCUGCUUCUGCUAAAUUUUUGCAUAAGAAUUGGGUAGGGGAGAGAUCCAGGGGCUGCAAGUGGUAAUUACGAGAUCAGCGUGGUGCAGGGUGCACAGACACAGGCUCCCUUCUCGCACAUUGAUCUGGGUUUCCUGCCAGGCAGUGGGUGCAGCCCCAGUGGUGCUAGCCUAGGUGCCCUGUGAGCACAGCCCAGCUGCUGGCCUUAGCACAGAACGCAGACACGUUUUCAGUAAGCAAAUGGUUCGGCUGUUAAGGAGUAAGGGGGUAAAAUAGUUUGCACUUCUCAAAUUAUCACAUUGUAGCCACGUCUUAAAAAGCCCCCUCUUACUGGGGCAAAGACUCGGAGUCCAGUACCUGCUUUAUGAAACCCUGCAGUCUGCUCGGGCUUGGCUCGGAGAUGUGUGUCACCUGUUUUGUAUUAGGAGGGGUCACACUAACUGCCAGUUUCCUGGAAACUGUGUAGGGUCCUUCUUAGGCCUCAUGGAAAGGGAAAUGUCCUGGCUAGGUGGACACGUGGGUGAACAGGACAGCGGGGAGAGAGAGUAUGGAUUCAAAACUAGGCAUUUUGGUGUUUAUACUCUUUAUGCAUGUAAAGGCAGUCAGAGCAUUUUUUGAUUUCCUGACCAUUUUCCUGGCAGCAGUCCCGUUGUUUAUUUUUCAGUCUUUCGGGGGGGGGGUGGGGGGGGGGUUGUGUACCAACAAACUGUAAAAAAAAAAAAAAAAAAAAAAAAAAAAAACUUUUUUACUUUCUAGUAAUGACAGCUCUGGAGAAUAUCACGCUAUUCUCUGUAUCCCGGGCUGCUGAGAAGAUGCAGCCUUUUAAAAAUCUCACGUUUAGUUAAGGAAACAUAGGAGCACAUGCCAUAAGGCUCGAGUCUCUGCUACUUUCCACGUUGUAUCCAAAGCAAUGUAGAAAUACCAUUUCUGCAAGUACUCCGCUGCUCUAUAGAGGGAAAGUGCAUCACAGGCAUACCCUCAAGCACAACUGGGUCUAAACCUGCUCUCGUUUUUUCCGUGUGUAACUCUGGAGUGACUCGGCUGGCUCUGAUGAAAGUCCUCUGGAACUGUGCUAGCUGGAAACCAGCCUGUAUGUCCCCCCCACUCCCCUAAGUGCUCCGGCUACCUGUGCACACUCACGCGUCCGUGCAGAUGCUCUUCCAAGUGCACUCGUCUGCAUGUGGGCUGGGGUGCGAGUGCACGUUUCUCUCGCCCACCCUUCACAUAUGCACGCAAACACACGCACUCUCAAGUGCACACAUCCAGACCCCUUCUCUUGUAUACAUUUACGCACAUUUACAGACCUUUCUGAAAGCUCCUGUUUUCAGCAAGGAUUUAUUUAUAGGUCCUGCCUGGUUGUGAAUGUGAAAGGGAGAAAGCCCCUCAGAGGGUGCCUUUCAUGUGUAAAUCAGCCUCGGCUGAGAGCACUGGGGUCACUGAGAGGAGGAUUUCUCUCUUAAUUACUCAGAGAGAAAGCAGGCAGGGGACUUUCUCAAACUAAUAGGGUUGUUCUCUGCUGGGGAAAGCAGCUCGAGACACCCAAUUUCUCUUGCAUCAGACUUCGGGCUCUGAUUCACAGGCCUCUCCUGCCAGUAGCAGAGCCACUGUGUAUAUGGCAAUAGGAACAAGCAGAUCAGCUUCCAGAACAGUUUACUUACUGAAGAUGGCUCUGUUCAUUCUGAUAACUGGGUGUUCUUUGGAGGCCGGUGGAAGAGCUGAGCUAGUUUCCUUCAUUACAGUACCGCUGUUCUUAGUCUGUGCUGUGUACAGCUGGGACUCCAUCCGAGUACCUCAGCAUUCUUCCAGACAUACCCGAAAGCUUCCUGCUCUCUGCGAAGUAGAAAAAUGUUGUUGUAUAGAGAUUAAUGUAGUGAACAGGGCUCUGAACUUGGACUCAGAAACAACUCUGAGUUCGCGGUUCAGCCACAGAAUGCCUUUGUGGCCUUUGACGAGCCCAUGUGCUCACGUACCCUGCUCCAGCUGCGAGCGGCAUCAUCUCCUCUCCAGAAUGGGAGAACAGAAGUCAACGUGGAUUGUGAUGCUCUUUGUUUUAAAGCUGUGAGUGGAAACAUAAAUGUGGGUGAUGAGCAGUCUGAAGAGAUGGGUCUUUAUCUUGGAAUGCAAUACACGCAUGUGGAUUCCCCUGCUGAAGUACCGCUGCCACCAUUCAGCCUUCAACACAACACAAAAUCGAGCCUGAAAAUCUGCUGCAGAGGCAAGAACACCCCAGUCACGAGCCACUCAGUUCUCUGCAGGAGCCACAGGACCUACCUGUAGAACCACGCACAGCUGUGUAGAACCACACAAGAUGCAGCUGCCAGCAGCUGCAGAGAAGAGAUUCGCUGUGUUGUCCAGUGCACAGGUGCCCACAAGCAGGUGUAUGUUUUUUUAUCUUCAUUUUACUCAGUUAAAAUUACAUCCUCUCAUCUGUCUCUCCUUUCCACGGGGCUGUUUCUUUCCUGGAUAAGAAAUAAAUGCUUUGAGGGCUCUUGGUUCCCAGCCUAUGCACGAACAGCCCCCUGGAGCCCUGGUGCAGGAUUCUUGAAGCUGCCUUAGUUCAGCUUGCCCAGGAAGGCUGAGGUUUUAUUCCGGGAGCACCUGUUUGAGGAAGCUCGCAGCAGCGGUGGGGGCCAUCAGCAGAUGAGACCACCGAGGGACUUGUUUUGCUGUGACAUUGUGAUGGGAGGUGGAGACACCUCGAGGAGAAGGUCGAAACAGACGACAGCAGUUACAGCAGUGCCACCUUGGGCUUGAGGAAAUCCUGCCUCAGUUAUGGUGUAUGUACAAUCUCUGCCAUCUUUCCUAC